AAAGGUAACGAGACAUGAAAAAUACACAAACACCUCAAGGGGCAUUCAGAUGAAAACUGUUAUAAGCAAGAUAUUUGUUCAGCUCAUCCUAGAUAAUUAAGCAACUUUGGCUACCACCCUCUGAGAUCAAGUAACUGAAUUUGAAUGUUAUUUAGACUAAAAGGAAUAUAUUGUUAGAAUAUUUAUUUUGCUAUAAAUUUAAUACAGUACAAUUAACCUAUUAAUUAAAUUGUAGAAAGGAAAACAUCAACUUGUUUUUGAGUAUUUUAGAAUUGGUGACCUAUUGUAAGAUUACACAUGCCUAAGAAACUCUAUUCAAAAUUACUUUUUUUCUCCUCUGAAAAUAUCUUAGGCAGCUAUACUUAAAUUAUUAUAUUAAUACUAAUAAUGAAUUUUUCUAAAGGCUUUUAUUGGUUGCUAUUUUACUCACUAGAUUUCCUGCCGUUGAAACUCACUGCAACUGUUACCACACGUCCAAUCAAGUGUUUGUCUGCAAAGCAGAGUGACUACAAGAGUGCACAUAGGAAGAUUUCCCUUUCUGCCUUCUGAUAUUUGGGUGGCCGUGAGAUGGGAUUUGGCAGUGAAGUGUGAUCAUAAUGUCACAUGUCACUGCUGGACAAAAGCAUAAAGCAUAAAGCACUGUCUGCCGCAUUCCAGUUUUCUUCCCUCAGUAAUUAUGAAGCUCAGAGAUGGGACCUCCCUCAAGCAAAGUGAGACCUUUUGGAAUAGCAUCCAGGUUUCUUCCUCUAGACCUCUAUGAUGAUGUGAGCCUUUUAAAUUACUUUAGCAAAUCUAAGUUGUCUGUUUUAUGUUUAUGUAUGACCCAGAAGGAUGUUCAAAUGAUGAAUCAGAUCAACAUGUCCCUAAUCAGCUGCUACUUAUAGCUCAAAGGAAAGUAAUAUCAGUGUAUAGACUAAAAAUAUCAUCAAUAUCAUACUCCCAAGAGGUAAGUUACCUAGUUAAAAAUGAAACAUGCCUUUUUUUGUU